GACGUAGGGCGCGAGCGUUGUCCGGAUUUAUUGGGCGUAAAGAGCGUGUAGGCGGCCAGAUAAGUCCGCUGUGAAAUCUCGGAGGCUCAACUUCGAGCUGUCGGUGGAAACUGUCUGGCUAGAGUCCGGAAGAGGAGAAUGGAAUUCCUGGUGUAGCGGUGAAAUGCGCAGAUAUCAGGAGGAACACCGGUGGCGAAGGCGGUUCUCUGGGCAUGUUCUGACGCUGAGGAGCGAAAGUGUGGGGAGCGAACAGG
rnacentral:rRNA from 1 species